rnacentral:rRNA from 1 species
GACGAACGCUGGCGGCGUGCUUAACACAUGCAAGUCGAACGCUGAAGCUCAGCUUUUGUUGGGUGGAUGAGUGGCGAACGGGUGAGUAACACGUGAGUAACCUGCCCCCUUCUUUGGGAUAACGCCCGGAAACGGGUGCUAAUACUGGAUAUUCACUGGUCUUCGCAUGGGGGUUGGUGGAAAGGGUUUUUCUGGUGGGGGAUGGGCCCGCGGCCUAUCAGCUUGUUGGUGGGGUGAUGGCCUACCAAGGCUUUGACGGGUAGCCGGCCUGAGAGGGUGACCGGUCACAUUGGGACUGAGAUACGGCCCAGACUCCUACGGGAGGCAGCAGUGGGGAAUAUUGCACAAUGGGCGCAAGCCUGAUGCAGCGACGCCGCGUGAGGGAUGGAGGCCUUCGGGUUGUGAACCUCUUUCGCUCAUGGUCAAGCCACAACAAUGGUUGUGGUGAGGGUAGUGGGUAAAGAAGCGCCGGCUAACUACGUG